rnacentral:rRNA from 1 species
CCUGGCGGCUGUAGCGCGGUGGUCCCACCUGACCCCAUGCCGAACUCAGAAGUGAAACGCCGUAGCGCCGAUGGUAGUGUGGGGUCUCCCCAUGCGAGA